rnacentral:rRNA from 1 species
GACAUAGGUGGCAAACGUUAUCCGGAAUUAUUGGGCGUAAAGGGUGCGUAGGUGGCGUGGUAAGUUUGAUGUGAAAGCUCAGGGCUUAACCCUGAAAUGGCAUUGAAUACUACUGUGCUGGAGGUUUGGAGGGGGGACUGGAAUUCUUGGUGUAGCAGUGAAAUGCGUAGAUAUCAAGAGGAACACCAGUGGCGAAGGCGAGUCCCUGGACAACACCUGACACUGAGGCACGAAAGCUAGGGGAGCAAACAGG